rnacentral:rRNA from 1 species
AUGUCGUUUCGUAGCAUUGUGCGUGAUGUAAGGGAUGGCUUUGGGAGCCUAUCUCGAAGAGGGUUUGAUGUGAGGUUUCUUGGCCAUCGCAGAGGGAAAUCUCAUAGCGCCGUCCACGAGUUGCAUGAUCCAGCACCUGUGAUACAGAGCAGUUGCUGGGCUAAUUUGCCUCCAGAAUUGCUUCACGAUGUGAUUGAGAGGUUGGAGGCCAGUGAGGCUACAUGGCCUUCCAGGAAACAUGUAGUCGCUUGUGCGGCUGUCUGUCGAACCUGGAGAGAGAUGUGUCAAGAGAUUGUUAAGAACCCAGAGUUUUGUGGAAAAAUUACUUUCCCUGUCUCCUUGAAGCAGCCUGGGCCCCGUGAUGGAACCAUCCAGUGCUUCAUUAAAAGGGAUAAGUCUACACAAACUUACUACCUGCAUCUGUGUCUUACCUCCGCUGUGGUCGCUGAAAAUGGCAAGUUUCUUCUAUUGGCGAAAAGACACUCCCGUCCAACCUGUACAGAGUAUACAAUAUUUAUGAAUACUGACAAUACAUCUAGGUCAAGCAACAUGUACAUUGGAAAAUUGAGGUCAAAUCUCCUUGGCACAAAGUUUGUAAUAUAUGAUACCCAACAUCCAUGCAACAUACCCAAUGUUUCACAAUCAGGGAAAACAAGCUGUAGGUUCUACUCAAGGAAGGUAUCACCGAAGGCCUCAUCCAGUACUUACAGUAUAGCACAGGUUUCGUAUGAGCUGAAUGUCUUGGGGACUCGGGGCCCUAGGCGGAUGAACUGUGUCAUGAACUCCAUACCUGCCUCAUCCCUUGAGGCUGGUGGCACUGUUCUAUGCCAGCCAGACAGUGCCGUUGCUCAUUCCCUUGAUGAGUCAUUUGGCAGCAUCUCCUUCUUGAAGUCAUCCAUUAGGGAUCGCUCCAUCCGAUUCAGCAGCACCCGAUUCUCGGGCAUCUCAAUAGGUGGCUCCAGGAAUGGAGGCCAGGCAUUGGGUGAUAAUGAUGAGUGCAAGGAGUGGCCACUGACUCUCCGCAACAAGGCACCAAGAUGGCACGACCAGUUGCAAUGCUGGUGCCUCAACUUCAAGGGCAGGGUGACCGUUGCAUCUGUGAAGAACUUCCAACUUGUUGCCGCGACAGAGUCUACUGCUGAAGCACCGACCCCAUCACAGCCUGCCCCGCCACCUCCAUCUGAGCAUGACAAGGUGAUACUGCAAUUUGGUAAGGUUGCCAAGGACAUGUUCACAAUGGACUACCGAUACCCACUGUCAGCCUUCCAGGCCUUUGCAAUCUGCCUGAGCAGCUUCGACACCAAGCUGGCUUGCGAAUGA